UCCACGUCACUUAACCUAGAUACACUUACUAGGUUCUUGUCAUCUUUGCCUAGAUGUCCACUUCUAGGUUUACUAGUUCGACCUAGGUUUACUAACACUAGGUUCGAUGCCACACACCUAGAUUGUUCGACUCUAGGUUCACUUGUUUAACCUAUGUUCUUUAACACUAGGUUAGAUGCCACUCGAUCUACCUGACAACCUAGUUGUCCAAUCAACUCUACUCACACUAGAGUUAUUAACUCAUGCUUUCUACUUGGCAUUUACUCUAUGCAUCUGUUCCUCAUGCAUUCUAUUUAGCAUUUCCAUCUAUGCAUUACUAUUAGUAUGCAUUCUUUACAUUAGCUAGCAUCAUUUACAUGUCAUGCUUUCAUGCUUGCUACUUACCAUGCAUUCUUUACUUAGCCUUUACUUUAUGCAUUAUUAUUCAUCAUGCAUUUCUUGUCCUUGUCUACAUGCACAUGCAUCAACAUGGAGAUACAUUGCUAAGACAUAAAGGGCGACCUAGUCGUUUCGGUAAGUACAACCCACCUUAGCUAGCUUUUUCGAUUGCUCGUCGACACUUGCAAUCGGCCUCCCGCGGCACUCGGCACCCGUUCGGGCCCGAUCUCACAGUUGCUCCCCUCGAGCACGCCGCUUCGCCGUUUCAAGUGCUAGCGAUCUUCCCCUUGCCGCUACGGUGCUCGGGACCCGGUUUCACGAUUUAUGGACGUGGCCUCGACCUCCGAGGUGGAAAUGAAGCUUCGAGCGCCCGUUUCUUCAAUAUCUUCGCAAUGGCUUGUCGGAUUGCCGAACCGACUUCGCCAACGUGUUUCUUUACCUACCAAUUAGGUUUACGAAAGGUCAAAUGAGAUCAAACUCAUCUAUUUACAAAAACCCCAUUUUGAUGCCCUAGAAUGCCAUCACUAGCAAAUCCACCAAAUCGAUCUAGGAUUUGGAUAUAAUCCAUCAAAAUAGCCAGCUAGGGUACCAAACAAACCAUUUCUAGGGUUUAAAAACCCAUCUACAAAGAUCUACCAUGAGAGGGCUUGGAAGCUUACCUCUCAAAGAGCUCCAUGGAGAGAAGAAGAUGAAGAUGAAGAUGAGGAAGAGGAUCUCCUCCUUGGUCCUCUUCUUCUUUUCCUUUCCUUUCUCUUUUCUUCUUCUCUUCCCUUUUCACUUUUCUUUCUUUUCUUCUUCUCCUCCCUUGCACGAUCGGAGAGAGGGAGAGAGGCUGAGGGAGAGAGAGAGAGAGAGGAAAAGGUCUCUCUAAUACCCUCUCUCAUUUUAUAACAAAAUGCUAAGAAGCCCCCAACUUUUCAUCUUUUACCCAGCCCUCACUGGGUGUUCUACGCGCUGAGGGAUCGGUCUCCCCGACCAGGGCCGGUCCCCGAGAGCUCUCCCCGAUUCCACGCGUUCGGGAACCGGUCCCUCCCUGAGAGACCGGUCCUCGAGAGACCGGUCUGCCCACCAGAGACCGGUCCACGAGAGCUCAUCUCGCGGGACUUAGCCAAUUUUCGGCUCUUCUUACUGGUGCCGUAGGCCGGGACCGGUCCCUCUUCUGCCAGGGACCGGUUGCAUCAGCAAUCCCGCAGCCUUCAGCUGAUGGGACCAGUCUCUCACCUCCAGAGAUCGGUCCCCGAGAGCAAUCUCAGCCCAAAAAUGCAGAUUGCAUUAUUUGCUCUCGCGGACUCCAUUCCAAUGUAUUUCUCGGUUUUUGUGCAUCCUUAGCUUUUCCAAAGCUUAUCCAUUCGAUCCUUAGUCGAUUCUAGACGAGGUGCAACCCUCGGAUUUCGAGAGUUCACAUUGUUACAUUCUCCCGUCCUUAAAAGAGUUUCGUCCUCGAAACUCACUCAUUCUUACCCUCUUUUAUUCCUCGAUCCACUCCUCGAGUACUCAAGGGUUCCAAUGCACUUUUGUACUUCGGAGUGGCCUUUAUUCUCAUCGAACUCAUCUAAAGGCCCACGACGAAGAAUGUGAGACCACGUUUACUCACAUUUUCCUCUUGCAACAUCAAAAGUGCAUUAUCACUUUACAAACUUCACUGGCGGUGUGGGUCAGUAUUCAAGACCCCACACACUAACUUCACUAGCCACUCGGCUAGAGAAGGACCUAUUCCCUCGCGGUUCUAGCGAACAUCACCACCAUUCGAGAUCAGGGCUACCCUUUCAUCCCAGUGGUGUGGAUCCAGCAAGAUCGCAUCACUUCGAUGAAUGAUCCACCACCACAUCUCUAUAUGCACGGGUAGACUUUCUCGAAUUGCUCAAGUACCCACUAGGUGGCACUUUGCCACUUUGGCUAUUUGGGAGCCCGAUACCACCUUAUUAUCCUAUCUGUACCAUCUCGUUCUCAGCGAUCGCAAGACGGCAUCCUCUCGCGCAUCCCAGAUUCUCAAUCCUCUUGAGAGCAUCAUUCUCAACGCCAACUCUUCGCGUGGUUAUCCAUUAUUCAAGUGUCUCUUAGAGACCACUUUACUUUCCCUUUAUCUCUUGACAUUUUAGGCCACGUUCAUCUCCACACGAACUCUUCGUUUGCGGAGACUCGGAGCUUCGCGAUCAGCUGGUCACACUCGUAGGGGUGAUGAGGCAACAAGCUGAUAUGGUGCAGUGGCAGCAGGAGGCUGCUACAUGCCAGGAGGAGCAAAUGAAAAGACUCCAGGAAGCGGUGGAUCAGCUGGUGGCAGCACCAGCUGCGGCUGGUCGAGGACAGCCAGGAGUCGCGACGGAGCUGUUUCCGUCGGGGUCGGGUGAUCCGACUUCUAUUAGUCCAGAGGUAGCGGCGGAGAGGGACCAAGCUUUGGCUGCCCUCAUGGCUUUCAAGAAGUUUGAUCCGCCUACCUUCGAUGGAGAAGAUACGGAUCCGUAGGUCCUUGAGAUGUGGAUCGAUUCCAUGGAAACCCUCUUCGAGAAUUUGUACACAUUGGAGCGAGACAAGGUAAACCUAGCCGCGCACUAUCUCAAACAGUCGGCGAAGGUGUGGUGGAAAGGCGUCAAGCGAGAUCGACAGCCUAGUCUCCCUCCUAUGUCUUGGGUAGAGUUUCAGGGGUUGGUAUUCUCUACUUAUUUCCCCGAUAGUGAAAAGCGAAAGCUCAAGGAAAGGUUCCUUAAGCUGCGACAAGGAGGCCGCACGAUCAGGCAAUACGAGUGGGAAUUUUUUCGUAUCGUGCAUUGUAUCCCGAACGUGGUGCGGGAUGACAAGGACUAAACCGACUGCUUCGUGCGUGGACUUCGGCCAGAUCUUUACCAGGCGGUGCUAAUGCUCAAGUUGCAGACCUUUGCUGAAGUCCUGGAUCGAGCCUUGUGGAUAGAGCAAGGCAAUGAAUUCCUGCGGGAGAAGCGCGAGUCGUAUUACAAGGAAAAGGGGAAAUGACGACCAGUGAGUGGACAUGAUGAUCAGUCAAGUUCCCAGCAGACCUCUGCGAAGUCGCGCUCUCGAUCUCGAGCUCCGGGGACGUAUCACAUUCGGUCCUCGGCGAGAUGUGUGAUUUGUGGGGGCCCUCAUUUCCCACAACAGUGUGAGCAGCGAGAGGGCAAGUGCUUCAAGUGUGGGCUAUCGGGCCAUAUACGGGACGAGUGUCCGCAAGGUGAUAGCCGAGCCUUGACACUGGCGACGGCUUAUUCCCCUCCGGGACUGCAGGCAGGUGUGCCACCUGCGGCAUGGUCAGGGGAGCAGCCGUUGAGGACGUUGCAACCAGAGGGAUCGCGGCGAACGCCAAGUGGCCAUGGAUAGGCGACCCAAGUUGCUGUGCCUGCCGUGGCUGACGACGUCGUGGCAGGUAUGAGUUAAUUAAGCAAUCGUAUGUUUUUGCAUAAUCUCAAGCUGUUGCAUUGCAUGCAUUCAUCAUUGGUCUGUUACUACUAUUGUCACAUUGCAUAGUAGGGACCGAGAGGUCGGGUAGAUAGGCACCCGAGCAUGCUAGCAGGAUGAGGGUAUAGCGCCUGCUAGAGCAGGUAGAGAGCGAAUGGUACUAGCAAAUGGCUAGUAGUGAUUUUGGAUAGGAAGCGAGGCUCGCAAUGGAAAUCGAAUGGUGAGAGAACUCUCGAUGCAAUGGAUUAGAAAUUGCGAGAGUUGAGCCUUGAUGUUUGGGGACACCCGAAUAUUCCAAGAGUAUUUUGGAUGCGGAUUCGGUAGAUCGAAUAGUGAAGAUGAACCACUGUUGCGAAAUGGGUCAGUUAGCGCCGAGUUUGGCCUGUGGGCCUAGUAGUACCUCGAGUUGAGGUGGGUGAGUUGUGCUCCUGUGGCCGGUGUGCAUAGGCUAAGUUGCCUGGUGCUUGGCGUAGUUGGGACGCUGCAGAGGCGUAUAGAGCGCUCGAGUAUAGACACUCGUAGAGUGCGGUUUCAAUUCAGCCAGUCGAGUGAAUUGGCAGUAGCACUUUAGCAGGGCUAAGUGUGAAGCGGGCCAUGGAUCACUCGUGAGGGCUGGUGGCUCGCACUAGGUGCCUAAGAGCCUAUAGAGUGCGUAGCUCUGUAGAGCAUGUCAUGUAGGACGACGUUGGCGGGUAGUGCUUGGGGACGACCCGUGCCUGGACCUUUUGUGGACUGUGGAGCCUGAGCCCAUUGGGCAGGUGCAGUCAGCUGUGAGAGAUAGCGGCCCGAUACCUAUAGGUAGUGCGGAGAGUUUUGGUCAUGACGGUAGUCCGAGCUUAGACCCGAGCACGUGGAAUGCCACGUGUUAGAUCGUGAGAUCAGUAGUACACCGAGUGUGUAGCAACCCGACCCGAGGAUUUGCCGGGGUUUGGGGACUUGGAUGCUCCUGGUUGGAGUAUGUGCGAAUUCUCCAAUGAGAAUGUCGCUCGAUAAUGAUUGGGUCUACGCUUGCGAGCGAGAGACGCUAGGCGUCGUUGAGGCGAGUUAGGCGACUAGCCUACGUAGGAUUGGUUGUCUUGGUCCACCUGAGGAAAAUGAUGGUUGGUGUAGCCGGGAACUCUAUUUAUGAGUCGGGCUUAGAUCCGCGAAUGAAGAGUUCGUGUGGUGUUGGACGUGGCUGUGGGGUCGAGGACAAGAAAGAGUAAUGUGGUCUCUAGGAGACACUUGGAUAAUGGAUAGCCAUGUGAGGAUUGGAAUUGGGAGUGAGAUGGUACAGAUAAGAUGAUAAAGUGGUAUCAGGCUCCCAAAUAGCCAAGGUAGUGAAGCGCCACCUGGUGAGUACUUUGAGUAAGUCGAGAGGGUCUACCCGUGCACGUAGCGUGGUGGUGUUGGAUCGUUCGUCUAGUUGAUGCGAUCUUGCUAGGUCCACACCACAGGAAACGAAGGGUAGUCCUGAUCUCAAGGGAUGGUGGUGUUUGGUGAAACCGCGAAGGAAUAGGUCCUUUUUUAGCCGAGUGGCUGGUGGUGUUGGGGUGUGGAGUCAUGAAUAUUGACUCACACUACUACCGAGGUUUGUAAAGUUGUAAUGCACUUUCGAUGUUACAAGUGGAAAGCGUGAGUACCUGGUCUAACAUCGUUCGUAGUGGGCCUUUGGAUGAUUACGAUGAGAAAAAGGCCACUCUGAAGUGCGAAAGUGCAUUGGAACCCUUGAGUACCCGAGAAGUGUAUCGAGGAAUAAGAAGGGGUUAGAAAUGAGUGAGUUUCGAGGACGAAACUCUUUUUAAGGAGGGGAGAAUGUAACAAUGUGAAUUCUCGAAAUCCGAGAGUUGCACUUCGUCCAGAAUCAACUAAUGGUCGAGUUGGUAAGCUUUGGAAAAGCUAAGGAUGCACGAAACCCAAAAGUGCAUUGAAAUGGAGUCCGCGAGAGUGAGAAUGCAAAAUCUGCAUCUUUGGCAGAUUUGCUCUCGGGGACCGGUCUCUGGCUGGAGAGACCGGUCCCAUCAGCUAAAGGCUGCGGGGUUGCUGAGGCAACCGGUCCCUGGCACCAGGGGGACCGGUCCCCGCAGGUGACACCAACGAGAAUGGCCAAAAAUUGGCCAAGUCCCGCGAGACGAGCUCUCGGGGGCCGGUCUCUGGUGGCUGGACCGGUCUCCGGGGGACCGGUCUCUCAGGGAGAGAUCGGUUCCCGAAUGCGUGGAAUUGAGGGGAGCUCUCGGGGAUCGGUCCCAGGUCAGGGAGACCGGUCCCUCCGCGCGCAGAAUGCCCAGUGAGGGCUGUGUAAGAGAUGAAAAGCUGAGGGACUUAAUAGCAUUUUGUUACAAUAUGAGAGGGGUUAUUAGAGAGGUGUUUUCUCUCUCUCUCUCUCUCUCUCUCUCACUCCCUCACACUCUUCCUCACUGUCUCUCUCUCUUGCUCCGAUCGUGAGGAGGAAAAGGAAAAGAGGAGAGGAAGGAAAGGAAAUAAAGAAAAAGAGAAGAAGAAAAGAAGGAGAAGAUGGAGGAGAAGAAGAGGAUCAUCAUCACCAUCAUCCUCUUCAUCUUCUUCUCUACAUUGAAGCAAGCCUAGAGAGGUAAGCUUGGUACCCUUUCAUGGUAGAUCCUUAAAGAUAGGGUUUUGAUCUCUAGAAAUGGUUAGAAUGGAACCCUAGCAUGCUAUUAAGAUGGUUUUUCCCCAUUUCAUAGAUCGAUUUGGUGGAUUUGGUAAUAAUGGCAUUCUAGGGCAUCCAAAGAGGGUUUUUGUAAAUAGAUGAGUUUGAUCUCAUUUGACCCUUCGUAAACCUAAUUGGUAGGUAACGAAACACGUUGGCGAAGUCGGUUCGGCAAUCCAACAAGCCGUUGUGAAGAUAUUGAAGAAACGGAUGUGUACAGCUUCGUUUCCGCCUGGAAGGCCAAGGCGACGUCCAUAAAUCGUGAAAUCGGGUCCCGAGCACCGUAGCAGCAAGGCAAAGACCUUUAACUCUUGAAACGGCGAAGCGGCGUGCUCUUGGGGAGCAACUGUGAAAUCGGGCCCAAACGGGUGCCCAGUGCCGCGGGAGGCCGAUUGCAAGUGUCGACAAGCAAUCGGAAAGCUAGCUAAAGGUGGGUUGUGCUUACCGAAGUGACUAGGUCGCCCUUUAUGUCUAAGCAAUGUAAUCUCAUGUUGAUGCAUGUAGACAAGACUAAACUGUGCAUGUUAAUGGUAAUGCUAAGUAGAAAGCAUAAUGAACAAUAUGAUAAUGCUAGAUAGUGCGUGAAUGCACAAGUAGUUGAACAUAUAUAUAUAUGCAUGUAAACUAAAUGAUAACUCUAGAAAUGUAGAGUUGAUUGGUAAUGAGACUCAAUUGGGUAACUAGGAUGUCAACUAGAUCGAGUGGCACCUAACCUAGUGUUAAAGAACAUAGGUUGAACAAGUGAACCUAGAGUCGAACAAGUCUAGGUGUGGCAUCGAACCUAGUGUUAGCAAACAUAGGUCGAUCUAGUUAACCUAGAAGUGGACAUCUAGGUAAAGAUGACGAGAACCUAGAGAUUGUGUCUAGGUUAUAUGACAUGAACAUAUAACCUAGAGUGUUAGAACCUAGGUUGUUGAGCAUAGUGGUAACAGCCACUAGGAGGAGCUAGGUCGACAGUAUAGGGUUGGCUAUGGACCCUCGACCUGUGGAAAGUGGAUUCCGGAAUACCAGGACUUGUGAUGACCUAGAUAUCAAAUCUAGGUCGUGUGCGACGACUUCGCCGCCAAGGUUGAUACCGAGGGAGGAUUGGGGGCGACCACAUGGAGAUCACCGCCCGGGGCUUGAACCAUUGUCGUGGCGUUUGUGCGACGAUUUCGCCGCCGGAUGGUUAAGCCAAUUGAGGAUCAGACCGCCAGGAUUGACUGAAACCAUUGCUGGGUAAGAACGAUGCGUGCGCCGCCAGGUGGCUGAGUCAUGACUUGUACCGUUGUUAGGUGAGGUGCGAUACGUUCGCCGCCAGAUGGUUAUUUCAUGACUCGAGUCCUCGCUGGGUAAGAACGCCAUGUUCGCCGCAAGAAUGGCUAUGUCAAGUGACUCGAGCCGAGUUCAGUGUGUGCGACUACUUCGCCGCUAAGAGGCUGAGUUUAGAGGGCAGCAGGUUGAUGAGCAGCCGGUGCGUGGACUAUCCGCGAAUGAUUGACUCGAAGCCGAGUCAGAUGGUUAGCUUCGAUAAGGUAGUGGAAACCCUUAUGAGCUAGAGAUAGAGGCUUGAGCUAAGGUAAUAGGGACCUUAGAAGCCAGUGGACUUGAGAGUGAACCUAAGGUAGUAGAAGCCUUAGAGUUGAUGAUAUGAGCUAAGAAUAACCAAGUAAAAUGUAGAAUCAAUUGAUCUACUAGUUGUUGCAUAAAGUUGCAUGAUUUUCAUAACGCAUAUCGUGAGGCAUGGCAUGUAUUUCAAUUUGAAUAUAUAUCUGUUGUAUAUUGUUGAACUAACAUGUUGCAGUGCCUCCUCGGAUCUAUCGGUCGAGCUUUUUUCUUGGGUGGCCGUACCCACUGGGAACCAUGGAGUUGGUUCUCACCCCACGUUGUUUCGGGGUGUUUUCAGGUUGUACGUGUGCGGCGCGGCGGCGCGAGGUGAGGGCGUAGCUUCGUAGAUAGCGCCCUACCCCGGAGACCAGAGCUAGCAGUAUCCCGAGUCAGCAGGGCCUAGGGGUUAGAAUGGAAUGACGACAACCAACUUGUAUUAAACAUAAUAACGUGAUUGUAUUUGGAAGUUAAGCAAAUGUAAAAGAAAAAUAUUAUUUGAAAUGAAUGCUUGUAAUAGCAGUUAGUUUUAUGUUAUUGGUACUUUCUUAUGCAAUCUGGAUUGAUAUCCGUUCCUGGUUGGAACAUUCGUUGAUUGUUUGGAUUGUGACGCCUUGGACGUACAGGGAAAACUCUGUCCGUUCGGCGGUCUGUCGGCGGCGCCGCGACCCGGUCCAAAUAGGCAGGUGGUCGCGGGUCAUGACAGUAUAAGCUUCGGAGAGUCCGGAGGUAAUUAAAAUGCAUAGAGUGCAUUAAGGAAGAGUCCGCGAGAGCAUUAGUGCAAAAUCCUCACUGGAGCAGAAUUGCUCUCGGGGACCGAUCCCUCGCAGGGAGGGACCGGUCCCAUCAGGCUGGGCUGGCGGAGAUCCUUGAUGCAACCGGUCUUUGGCAGGUAAGGACCGAUCCCCGAACGUUAACCCAGCGAGAGAAGCCGAAAUUUGGCUAAGUCCCGAAAAUCUAACUCUCGUGAACCGGUCUCUCGGACAAGGACCGGUCACCCGGGGUGGUCUCUCAGGCAAGGACCAGUUCCUGAAUGCGAAAUCCCCUCUGCCCGAAUAGGAGGCUCUCGGGGACUGGUCUCCCCGAGCUGGGACCGGUCCCUCACUGCGAAAAUGCCCAGUGAGGGCUGCUGCAGAGGAUGGAAAAGUUGAGGGGGCUAUGUGCAAAAUGGCUUAUAUGAGAGGUGGGGGACCCCUCUCUCCCUCUCAUUUGCUUUCUCUCCCUCUCACACUCUUUCCCUCUCUCUCUAGAAAGAAUAAAAGGAAAAGAAGAAGAAGAGGAAGAAGAAGAAGGAGAAGAAGUAGAGGAAGAAGAAGGAGAAGGCUAAGAAGAAGUAGAAGAUCAUCUUCUUCUCUCUCUCCCUCAAGCUUGAAGCUUUGUUUAGAGGUAAGCUCUAAACCCUUUAAUGGUAUUUCUAGGGUUUGGGAUUUUUGUUGCUUAGAGAUGGUUCGAAUGGAACCCAUCGAGGUAAAGGAGAUGGCUCAAGCUUGAAAUUGAAGCUCACACUACGGAUUUCCUCACCGUUGCCAACCUAGGACACGGAUUUGGGAUUUUUAGAAAUCUAGGGUUUUGAUCUAUUUUAUUAGGUCGUAAACCUAAUUGCUAAGUCUUCGAACGCGCAGGCGAAGACGGUUUGUCGAUCCGACGAGCGAGUGCGAAGAUAUCGCCGAAACUGAUACUUGAGGGUUCGCUUUGCCUUGAGGUGUUGAAGCGACGUACGAGGACCGCGACGUCGAGUUGUCUAGCCACGCGGCACUACCAAAAGGUGGGGGAGUGCCAUCCUGAAGCAGUCGAGCUGCUUUCUAUGUCUGAGUUAUUGUGUUGAUCAAUUACAUAUUAAACAUGUGGCAUAUAGGGAACUAAGUUAUUUAUAUCUAUAUUUGCAUGCUAGUGUUAAUGUGGCCUAGUGAUAUAGCUCUAGAACCUAGUAUGCAUGAGCCGGAUAUGAGGUGGUGAACCCUAUAUGUGUUGGAUGUACAUGUAGCUAUGAAAACCUAGUACAUUGUGGACUAGAGUAUCGAGAACUUGUCAGAGAACGAGUGGCAUCUAGUUAACAAUGAACACAAACUAUUGGCAUCUUGUUGAUAUUGAACAUAAGAACCCUAGUGUAGUCAAAACACUAUGAGCUUGGGUAUUGGGAUGCUUGAUUCUAUGAUGACACCAACCUUAGUUGGUAGGACCAGUUCGUGAGUUCAGAUUAUACUCACAUAGCCUGUCUGCACUUGUAGGGGUCGCUCCCCAUAGCCUGUGCACUCCGGAGUAUUUGUCACUCGAGGGGCAGUCGCCAUGCGCUGCCUGGACAGUCAGUGUAUCUGUCCGCAGGCGGUCUCGGGGAAUAGUUCAGCGAGGCUUUUCCCUAUGAGACUUAUAAACGUGAGAUUGUGUUGCCGGAUUGAUCGAAUGAUUGGGUAAAGUAAUGAACAACCCUUAUUGUUGAGCAUAGUAGUAUGGUAGCUACGAAUUCGGUAUGAAUGACAUGCAUGCAUGAUUCAAGAUUGAGGCAUAGUCAGAUGCUCAUACCUAUACUUGCUUAUUCCUCGUUAAUGUUUUCAAUCCCAUAUAUCUAUCUAUCUGCAUAUCUAUCUGUGCCUGCUUAGACCUAGUGGGAAGAUCGGCAGAGUCGGCGGCCGAACGCACUGGGAACUAUUCGUAGUUCGCAUCCCACUUUGUUGCAGGUCUGAGUUCGAGUGUCCCCGGCGAGCGCGAGGACCGUGGCAAGGGCAUAGCGCCCUAGUGGUAUAUGUACAUAGCUAGCUCUACUUCCUUUUGCAUUAGCCCUACCCUGUACUUAUGUUUGAGAGUAGAUGUUGUAUAGGGUGAGGUUUGAGAGUGAUUGUACAUAUGAUCUGGAUGAAUGUAAAAGAUGAAAUAAUUGUAUAAAGUUAAAUGAGUUUAGUAGUUAAGUACAUCUCUCUUUUAUCACUUGUAUGCUUUACUUGUGUUGCUUGCUCUUGGUUGAUAAGCACUGUUUGUGCUUCGUCGUCGUUGUUUGAUCAUGUAUGUAGUCAAGUGUAUUUUCUAGAAACUUGUAUACAUGAUCUCGUUAUUUGAGCCUUGGGCGGAUAGAGGAGUUGUUGUCCGUUCGGCGGUCCGUUCGUCGCGCCCGAACCAGACCAAACUGGUAGCGGGCUCGGGGCGGGGACGUGACACAACGAUUGAUUGCAAGAGCAGAGUGAUUACAUUUCGUGAGUCGGGACAGAAGGAGUUCAUUUAUCGGGCUUGUCAGAGCUCGUGCUUCGUUGCGACAGUAUCGGCGACGAGAGCAAGAAAGCUGGUCAACAGCGGUUGCGCAGCAUUCUUGGCAACCGUUGUAGAAGUGGACCAAGUGGCUCCGACCUUGGAGGAGUUAUCGGUGGUGCGGGAGUUCUCGGUGUGUUUCCCGCGGAGUUACCGGGGAUACCGCCGGACAGGGAGAUCGAGUUUGUCAUAGACUUGGUUUCCGGUACCGCACCGAUCUCGAAGGCUCCAUACCGAAUGGCAUCGGCGGAAGUGAAAGAGUUGAGGAGUCAACUGCAAGACCUUCUCGACAAGCAGUUUAUCCGGCCAAGUGUAUCACCGUGGCGAGCCCCGGUGUUGUUUGUACGGAAGAAGGACGGAUCGUUUCGACUCUGCGUGGAUUACCGAGAAUUGAACAGAGUCACGAUCAAGAACAAGUACCCACUACCCCGAAUCGAUGAUUUGUUCAACCAGUUGCAGGGGUCGUGUGUGUACUCAAAAAUAGAUUUGCAGUCCGGCUAUUACCAGUUGAAGAUCAAGCCGGAGGAUGUGCAGAAAACUGCGUUCCGUACGCUGUACGGACACUAUGAAUUCACAGUCAUGCCAUUUGGACUCACGAAUGCUCUAGCGGCGUUCAUGGACUUGAUGAACCGUGUCUUCAAGAAGUAUCUGGACUGAUUUGUCGUAGUCUUCAUAGACGACAUAUUGGUCUAUUCUCGCAGUGACGAGGAACAUGCCGAGCAUUUGAGAAUAGUGCUUCAAGUUCUUCGGGAGAAGAAGCUAUAUGCUAAGUUAAAAAAGUGUGACUUCUGGCUCUGAGAGGUCGCAUUUCUAGGGCAUGUAAUUUCCGCGGGUGGAGUUUCUGUAGACCCGAGGAAAGUUGAGGCAAUCAAGGAUUGGCCGCGCCCGACGAAUGUCACGGAGGUUCGAAGCUUCGUGGGCUUAGUGGGCUACUAUAGACGGUUCGUGGAGGGCUUUUCGAAGUUAGUAAUUUCACUUACCCAUCUGACUCAAAAAGGCACCAAGUUCGUCUGGAGCGAGGAAUGCGACCGGAGUUUCAAAGAAUUGAAGCAAAGAUUAACUUCGACUCCGGUGCUCGUUCUACCAAUACAAGGCAAAGACUUCGUGGUCUAUAGCGAUGCUUCCUAUCUAGGAUUGGGGCGUGUCCUGAUGCAGAGCGGGAAGGUGAUCGCUUAUGCGUCCCGUCAGCUGAAGAGCUAUGAGAAGAAUUACCCCAUUCAUGAUUUGGAGCUAGCGGCGGUAAUCUUCGCCUUGAAGCUGUGGCGGCACUACUUGUAUGGUGCCCACUGCGAGAUCUACAUCGACCACAAGAUCAUGAAAUAUCUGUUCACACAGAAAGAGCUCAACAUGCGACAACGACGGUGGUUGGAACUGCUAAAAGAUUAUAAUGUGGAUAUCCUUUACCACUCAGGAAAAGCGAAUGUGGUCGCGGAUGCGCUGAGCAGGAAAUCAGCGGAGAACCUCGCUAUGUGGGUUACGAAUCAAACGCCCCUAUGGCUGGACAUGGAGAGAAUGGAUCUUGAGGUGGUUGCUCCCGAGAUUCCGGCCCAGUUGAUGGCGCUCGUUGCCCAACCGACCUUGUUGGAGAGGAUCAAAGAUCUGCAACCUGCAGACCUAGAACUUCAAAGGGUGCGGCGAAACAUCGAGGAGGGUCAAGGCGGCAAUUUCAGUAUGGACGUCGGUGGUACACUUCAGUUUCGAAACCGGUGGUGUGUGCCCAAAAAUGGAGAGCUUCGCGAGCUAAUUCUACAAGAAGCGCAUCGGUCUCCAUAUGCUGAUCACCUGGAGGGUUGAAAGUGCACUAUUGGUGGCUGGGAAUGAAAAGUGAUAUUGGACGCUUCGUUGCUAAGUGCUUAGUAUGCCAACAAGUGAAGGCAGAGCGCCGAUUUCCAGCGGAAAAGCUUCAAAGCCUUCCAAUCCCCGUUUGGAAAUGGGAAGAUAUAUCGAUAGACUUCGUGGUCGGCUUGCCUCGCUCAACUGGCGGCCACGAUGCAAUUUAGGUAAUUGUGGAUCGUUUGACGAAGUCGGUUCACUUUUUGCUGAUCCACACCACAUGGGUAGGUGACAAACUGGCGCAGGUAUACCUUGAUGAGAUAGUGAGGUUACACGGGGUGUCGAAAUCGAUCGUGUCGGAUCGUGAUCCCCGGUUACCUCGCACUUUUGGAAAAGCCUGUAGGAAGCCCUUGGCACACGGCUCGAUUUUAGCAAAGCAUUCCAUCUUCAGACAGAUGGGCAAACAGAGAGAACCAUUCAAACUCUGGAGGAUAUGUUGCGAGCGUGUGUCAUAGACUACAAGGGAAGUUGGUGUGAUCAUCUGCCGAUGGCCCAGUUCGCCUACAACAAUAGUUAUCAUGCUAGUGUAGAGAUGGCACCGUUCGAGACUCUCUAUGGGCGGAACUGUCGAUAUCCUAUACACUGGGGCGAUGUGGGUGAGCGUGCGGAGUUCGGCCCUGAUGUUUUGCUAGAAGCGGAGGAGAAAGUCCGCCUUGCUCGCAAGAGGUUGCUCACGACGUAGUCGAGACAGAAAAGCUAUGCUGAUAGGCAUCGUCGAGACUUGGAGUUCACAAUAGGCGACCACGUAUUCUUGAAGGUCUCACCCAUGGGGGGUGUAAAACGAUUCGGAGUUCGGGGAAAGUUAAGUCCCCGAUACAUCGGACCUUACGAGGUAUUGGAGCGAAUUGGGACCGUGGCUUAUCGGCUUGCGUUGCCGCCAAAGCUCGCAGAUGUGCAUAACGUGUUCCACGUCUCCUAUCUUCGCAAAUACAUUCAUGAUCUCGAGCAUGCUCUAUUGUACGAGCCACCGGAGCUCCAAGAGGAUUUGAGCUAUGAAGAGUUUCCGGUGGGGGUUAUUGCUCAAGAAGUGCGAAAGCUACGAAAUCACGAGAUUCCUUAUGUGAAGAUUCGGUGGAGCAAUCAUGAUGAUCGCGAGACCACCUGGGAACUCGAGGAUCUGAUGAGAAAGCACCAUCCUCACUUAUUUGAGGAAUAAGGUAUGAAUUUGAGUUAAAGUUGAGAAUUGAAUUAGUUUCGAGGACGAAACUCCUUUUAAGGAGGGGAGGAUGUAAGGAAGUGAAUCCUCGAAAUCCGAGAGUUGAACUUCGACCAGAAUCGACUAUUUGUCGAGUAGGUACCCUUCAGAAAGGCUAAAGAUGUCCAAAACACAAAAGUGCUUUGGAGUCGAGUCCACGAGAGCAAGAAAUGUGAAAAUCUGCACCUGACAGAUUUUGCUCUCGGGGACUGGUCCCUGGCAGGGAGAGACCGGUCCCCGAACUGAGGGAUGCAGCAACGCGCGAUGCAACCGGUCCCUGGGCCUGAGGGACUGGUUCCCAAACGCGUAAACUUAGAGAGGUCCCAAGGGACCGGUCCCAGGCAGGGAAAGACCGGUCCCUCCUCGCGAAAUCUGCCCAGGCAGAGUAAGUUGAGAGGGUUAAAGUAGAGGGGCUUUUAUGCAAAAAUGCUAUUAGUUAGAGGGGUAUAGAGGGGCUGAGCCCUCUCCUCUCUCUCACCCUCACCCUCACUCUCUCACUCAGCUCUCUCUCUCUCUAGAAAGAAAAUAGAAGCAGAAGAAAGAAAAGAGAAGGAGAAGAGAGAAAAGAGAAAAAGAAGGAGGAGAAGAAGAAGAAGGAGGAGAUCAAGCUAGAGAAGGCUUGGAGCAUCUUACUCUUCCUCUCCUCUCCCUUAGAGCUAACCUAGAGGUAAGCUCUUGAGCCCUAAUAGUAUAACUUAGGAUUUUUGGGUUUUUGGCUUUGGAAAGGAGGUCAAAUGGACCUCUAGCACCAUUAGUGGUGGAUUAGAGCUAGAGGCUGGGGUUCCUUAGUGCAAAUGGCAAGCUGUGAACCCUAGGGCACCCGAAUUGGGAUUUUUGAUAAAGUAUGAGAUUGAUCUUAUUUGAGGGCAUAUAAACCUAAUUGCUAGGUGUCUAAACCCGGGGGCGAAGUCGGAAUUUCGAUUCGUCGAGCGGGGAAAAAGCUAUCGGCAAAAUAAGGCCGAUUGAGCAUCAUUUUGGACCAAGGAGGCCGAGACCUCGUCGUAACGUUCGGCGAGAGGCAUAUCUAGAACCUCUGCAACAAGAAAAGGUGGGGGAUGUCAUCCCGAAGCAGCCGAACUCUCUAUUAUGUCUUAGAAUAACAUGAUUUACAUCUCUUGCAUGUUGCAUUGUAGGAUUGUAUUGUAGUACCUUUUCCUUAUACUUCUAAAUGUUAACCUAGUGUACAUGGAAUACUUGGUGAAAAUGGAUAGGUAAGGAUUGGGUCGAAACAUGGAUCCUAUAGUGCUAAAGAAAAGAGAUAAACUCGAUGGUUAUUUAGUGACAUAGAGAGUGACAUCUAAAUGUUUAAAGAACAUAGAGAGUGGCAUUAUGUAGUGUAUUUGACACUAGAGGUUCAUAAACUUAGGGAUAGGUGGAUUCCCUAGAAAAUGACUCGUGAACAAUGAACUUAGUAAAGCUAAGUAACUAUGCAUGAAAGUCGAAAUAGGUGAGUUCUGAGAGAAAUGUUGGCCCUAGUUCGUAGGGUAUCCUCACGUGGAGAGGAUAGAUCAAGCUCAUGGUCUAUUAUUUGGGGUGGUAAAGCCAUCCAUAUCCUCACAUGGAGAGGAUUGGUCGUCAAGUACUCCGGAGUGUCGGGCGAUUAGGACAGAGUUGAUGUCCGCAGACAGUCCCGGGUUUGGGGCACAUGGAGCUCCCUACCCUAUGGGAUGGAUAUGUGAGAUGUAGGCAGACCCAAGGGUCUUGCCACAGACUAUUGGUAGAGUAGUAGCUUUCCCUUUUGCAUUAGCACACCUAUGUAUUUGAGAGAGAUUCAUGUAGGUGAGGACUUUGGAGAGCUAUGUACUUGAUGAAAAUAUGUAUUCAUUUUGAGGAAAAGAAUGUAAUUGUACACAAUUACAAAUGUGAUGUAAUAGCUAGUAGGUUCUCUCUUUAUUUCACUCGUGUAUCUUGUGGAUUACUUGCUCUUUGUUGUUGGCACUGUUUGUUCCCCGUUGAUUGUGUACUUAUAGAAUUUAAUAUCCUGGGUAAAUUCUUGUACUCGAUCUAUUGUUGAGCCUUGGGCGGACAAGGGAGGUGCUGUCCGUUCGGCGUCCAUUCGCCGCGCCCGAACCGUACCAAAUUGGUAGGAGUCUCGGGGUGGGGGUGUGACACAAUAGGAUGCCUGAUCACCUUUUUGGGCACCCAAAUUAUGGACCAGGCAGAUUGAGUGGGUGCUCGAAUCUAGAACAGGGCAUAGUUACGUGCAAUCCGAGCACCUAAAAGUUUAGGCGGGCGCCUGAGCCUAGUGUAUGGAGAGUGGUUUAGUUCUUUAUAAAUAAAAAAUGUUGGGAGGUUUAUAUGUUAUUGUAGUGUAAUGCCCCAUUUUUCUUUUUUUUUUUUAAUUUGAAAUUUAUUUUGUUAUUUGAUAGAGAAGGACUAUUUAGUUUAACUUAAAAAGUUUAGGGGUCUAGAUGCAAUUGUGCAACCCUAAUUAAUUAAGAGCAGUGCUAGAGGGUAGGGUUGUAAGAUGUACACCCCUUUUGGGUUGUACCAGUAGCAUUUUCCAUUAAUUAAAGGGUUAAUUACAUACAGCUCCCUGCAAACAUAACAAAUAGCAAAUAAAUCCCUACAAAGUUCAACUUUCAACUCUUAUUCCUACAAAAGUCUAGUGAUAAUCAUAUUUGUCCCUCUAGUUUUUUACUGUUAGAGAAUUGUUUAUUUUUUAACAGCAGAUAAGUGAAAUGUCAAUUUUGCCAUCACAAAUAUGCCCUUUCAAAAGCCCCAACUGUUAUAAUCGUUCAGAUAUGUCCCCUUAAAAAAUUUUCAAUGGUAAUCUUUGUCACGCCCCGCCCCGAAACCACUACCAAUUUGGCACGAUUCGGCCGCGACGACGGACCGCCGAACGGACAGCACCUCCCCUGUCCGCCUAAGGCUCAACAACAGGAAUGUGUACAAGAAUUUACCCAGGACUUUAAAUUCUAAACAUACACAUUCAACGAGGGCACAAACAGUGCCAACAACAAGAAGAGCAAGUAAUCCACAGGAUAUACGAGUGAAAUAAAGAGAGUACUUUACUAACUAUUACAAUAGUUGCAUUCUUUAUAUUUACAUCAUUUUCCAAAAUGAAUACAUUUGAUCCUCAAAAUACAUAGCUCUCCAACCUCACCUACAUGAAUCUCUCUCUAUACAUAGGUGUGCUAAUGCAAAAGGAAAGCUACUAUACUACCACGGCCUCACUGAUCGGGCGCGAUGCCCUUGCCGCGGUCCUCCCUCGACAAUCCUGAACCUACCACUGGAAAUAGAGUGGGGUGAGACUAUCUUCCAUAGUUCCUAGUGGGCUCGGCCGCCGACUCUGCCGAUCUCCCCACUAGGUCCAAGUGGGCACAAAUAACAACAGAUAGAUAGAUAGAUAUGUAUCUGAAAGCUGUAAAUGCGAUAGUAGGAAAAACUAUGCUACUAUGCCCAUAAUCAUAAGUAUGAAUGCAUGCAUCAUAUAAUAAAGGUUUGCUAUCGUGCUAACAAAUUCGAUCCAUGUUCGAAUAGCUAUGUUCAAUGACAUUUAUUAACCUUUAACCUUUCAUUUACCCAAUCUGUGGCGAGGCCCUAGGGCUCGCCCAUAACUCAUCUUUCAAUCCCAAAGUGGGGAGGGAGCUCCAAGUGCACCCAAGCCCGGGACCGUCUGCGGACCUCCAUGUGGUCCGGACCUCCAAGUGGUCCUAGUCGCGCGACACUCCGGAGUACUCGACGACAAUCCCCUCCAUGUGGGGAUCGGAUGGCUAUGCCACCCUAACGCAGACUGUGAGCUAGAUCUAUCCUCUCCAUGUGAGGAUACACUGUAACUAGGGUCAACACCCAAUCCAAUCCUCUCCAAGUGAGGAGGCUCUAUAACUAGAGUCAAUAACCCAAUCGAAUCCUCUCCAAGUGAGGACGCCCUACACUAGGGUCAACGACUAUUGCGGAAUCAUCGGUUCCCGACAUUAAUGCAAUGCUAUUUAGUUUUCUAAAUUUAUUGUUCAUAAGGCAUUUUCUAAGGAAUCCACCUAUCCCUAGGUCCAUCG
rnacentral:lncRNA from 1 species